GGAGAUGUGGCUCAGGCGGUAGAGCACCUGCCUCCCAAGCAGAGGGUCCUGAGUUUGAACCUCAGUACCACCA
rnacentral:tRNA from 1 species